AGAACGAACGCUGGCGACAUGCCUAACACAUGCAAGUCGAACGAGACCUUCGGGUCUAGUGGCGCACGGGUGCGUAACGCGUGGGAAUCUGCCCUUGGGUUCGGGAUAACAGUUGGAAACGACUGCUAAUACCGGAUGAUGACUUCGGUCCAAAGAUUUAUCGCCCAGGGAUGAGCCCGCGUAGGAUUAGCUAGUUGGUGAGGUAAAGGCUCACCAAGGCGACGAUCCUUAGCUGGUCUGAGAGGAUGAUCAGCCACACUGGGACUGAGACACGGCCCAGACUCCUACGGGAGGCAGCAGUGGGGAAUAUUGGACAAUGGGCGAAAGCCUGAUCCAGCAAUGCCGCGUGAGUGAUGAAGGCCUUAGGGUUGUAAAGCUCUUUUACCCGGGAUGAUAAUGACAGUACCGGAGAAUAAGCCCCGGCUAACCUCCGCGCCAGCACGCCGC
rnacentral:rRNA from 1 species